UACGAAGGGUGCAAGCGUUGUUCGGAAUUACUGGGCGUAAAGCGCGCGUAGGCGGGUCUGUAAGUCGAUUGUGAAAUACCUGGGCUUAACCCGGGAAUGCAGUCGAACUGCAGAUCUUGAAUGUCUGAGAGGAUGGCGGAAUUCCCGGUGUGAGUAGUGAAAUACGUAGAUAUCGGGAGGAACGACCGGUGGCGAGGCGGUUC
rnacentral:rRNA from 1 species